GGAUGUGAGGGCAAUCUGGCUGUAGAAUCUGUCACCUCAUUGAUCGCCAAGGUUGAUUCGGCUGAUCUGUGUGGCUAGGCGGGUGUCCCCUUCCUCCCUCACUGCUUC
ensembl:misc_RNA 7SK 7SK RNA